UAUAACAGGUCUGUGAUGCCCUUAGACGUUCUGGGCCGCACGCGCGCUACACUGACGGAGCCAGCAAGUACAGCCUUGGUCGAGAGGCCUGGGUAAUCUCGUGAAACUCCGUCGUGCUGGGGAUAGAGCAUUGUAAUUUUUGCUCUUCAACGAGGAAUUCCUAGUAAGCGCAAGUCAUCAGCUUGCGUUGAUUACGUCCCUGCCCUUUGUACACACCGCCCGUCGCUACUACCGAUUGAAUGGCUUAGUGAGGCUUCAAGAUUGGCGCCGUGGGAGGGGCAACUUUCCUAUGAUGCUGAGAAUUUAGUCAAACUUGGUCAUUUAGAGGUCGUAAAAGUCGUAACAAGGUUUCCGUAGGUGAACCUGCG
rnacentral:rRNA from 1 species